rnacentral:rRNA from 1 species
GGUACCUACUACUCGGAUACCCGUAGUAAAUCUAGAGCUAAUACGUGCGUAAAUCCCGACUUCUGGAAGGACGUAUUUAUUAGAUAAAAGGCCGACCGGGCUCGCCCGACUCGCGGUGAAUCAUGAUAACUUCACGAAUCGCAUGGCCUUGCGCCGGCGAUGUUUCAUUCAAAUUUCUGCCCUAUCAACUUUCGAGGUAGGAUAGAGGCCUACCAUGGUGGUAACGGGUGACGGAGGAUUAGGGUUCGAUUCCGGAGAGGGAGCCUGAGAAACGGCUACCACAUCCAAGGAAGGCAGCAGGCGCGCAAAUUACCCAAUCCUGCACAGGGAGGUAGUGACAAUAAAUAACAAUACUGGGCCUUUUCAGGUCUGGUAAUUGGAAUGAGUACAAUCUAAACCCCUUAACGAGGAUCAAUUGGAGGGCAAGUCUGGUGCCAGCAGCCGCGGUAUUCCAGCUCCAAUAGCGUAUAUUUAAGUUGCUGCAGUUAAAAAGCUCGUAGUUGGAUUUCGGGUGGGGCCUGCCGGUCCGCCGUUUCGGUGUGCACUGGCAGGGCCCACCUUGUUGCCGGGGACGGGUCCUGGGCUUCACUGUCCGGGACUCGGAGUCGGCGCUGUUACUUUGAGUAAAUUAGAGUGUUCAAAGCAGGCCUACGCUCUGAAUACAUUAGCAUGGAAUAACACGAUAGGACUCUGGCCUAUCCUGUGGUCUGUACGACCGGAGUAAUGAUUAAGAGGGACAGUCGGGGGCAUUCGUAUUUCAUUGUCAGAGGUGAAAUUCUUGGAUUUAUGAAAGACGAACUACUGCGAAAGCAUUUGCCAAAGGAUGUUUUAUU